ACCAGAUAACAGAAUUAUUGGAAGAAACCCUGAGAUGUGCUGGCAGUUCUCUGAUCUCAUAAAAAUGCUGUAUGAGCUGGAGAGACAAAGGAUUUUACAAAGGGUUAAGAAAGGCUCUAUGCAGGCAGCCAGCUGGUAAUCCAAAUCUGGACUAUGAAGCAAAGAUGGGAAAAGCACUGCUCUAGGAGAAAUGUUCUUAUAUAACAUGCUCUCAUCCAGUCCUCCCACCUGACGGCUAGACCUCAGCCACAUCCCAAGACAGUUUAAUAUCUGGCUGCACAGGACACUCUAUCCCGGAAUUCAGCCUUAUUUGGAAAGAAAAAUUGAGAGGGCUCCUCACAUAAGUGUGUAUACAGCUGGGAUGGGUCCUCUGAAUCCACCUUCUCUUCCAGCAUAUGAUCUAAUUUCUCAUUCUUCUUCGCUGUUGUUUUUGCUUGCGAAUUUCCAUGUUAUCGAGUAA
rnacentral:lncRNA from 1 species